rnacentral:rRNA from 1 species
GACGAACGCUGGCGGCGUGCUUAACACAUGCAAGUCGAACGGAAAGGCCCUGCUUUUGUGGGGUGCUCGAGUGGCGAACGGGUGAGUAACACGUGAGUAACCUGCCCUUGACUUUGGGAUAACUUCAGGAAACUGGGGCUAAUACCGGAUAGGAGCUCCUGCUGCAUGGUGGGGGUUGGAAAGUUUCGGCGGUUGGGGAUGGACCCGCGGCUUAUCAGCUUGUUGGUGGGGUAGUGGCUUACCAAGGCUUUGACGGGUAGCCGGCCUGAGAGGGUGACCGGCCACAUUGGGACUGAGAUACGGCCCAGACUCCUACGGGAGGCAGCAGUGGGGAAUAUUGCACAAUGGGCGGAAGCCUGAUGCAGCAACGCCGCGUGCGGGAUGACGGCCUUCGGGUUGUAAACCGCUUUCGCCUGUGACGAAGCGUGAGUGACGGUAAUGGGGAAAGAAGCACCAGCUAACUACGU